rnacentral:rRNA from 1 species
GUCUACGGCCAUGCCACCCUGAACAAGCCCGAUCUCGUCUGAUCUCAGAAGCUAAGCAAGGCCGGGCCUGGUUAUUACUUGGAUGGGAGACCACCUAGGAAGACCAGGUGCUAUAGGUG